AGUUAUUAUUGUUAAAAAUGUUUAUGUCACUUCAGUUGAUUUUCAGCGUUUACAACAAGACCCACUCAAGAAAAGUCUUACACACUAGCUAGAAAACUAAACAUCUCAAAUACGUUGUGUGGAGCAUAAGUUAUAUAUUUAUUGUUAUACGUCGUAAAAAUUGGAUUUUUAUUUCGCGUUUAAAUUAAUUAAAUAUCAUACAGCUCACUGAAUACUCAAUAUUAUUAUCACCAAUCUUAGUGUUAAUCUAACUCGUCAGUUAUAAUCAUGAAAUUAUUGUGUUUGUUAUUAGUCGUAGCAGUGCUUGUGGAAUUAGCAUCAUCAUCGUACCCGGUAGUAUGUAAAAAAGAUGAGUACGAAUUAGUCGAUAUGUGUGUGGCAAAUUGUAAAGCUAAGGAAGGCGAUCAAUCCAUUCUAGGUGCAUGUAAAGUAUCAUCUAUACAUAGAACUCAUUAUGAUUAUAGCAGAAGAGCUACAACAUAUUACGAAUGUUGGAAAUGUACUAAUGAGACUCUAUAGACUCUUGAUCCAUAAUAUUCAUGUUAUUUUUACUUAUAUUCAUUUAUAACGGAUUUUUUUUUUUUUUGUUAAAUAACUGAAAAAUAUAUAUAAUCAUGCACUAUUCACAAACUAAGACUUAAUGUCAUUGAAUAAAUAUUACGCUUAUUAUGUUAUACAUUAAUAUACCUAAUUUUUCAAUAUGUAUUAAUUAUUUAAACUGGGUUUAAAUAUAGUUUUUUUUUUUUUUUUGUGGAAUUUAGUUCUCUAAAUUUACUGGUAUAUAAUACAAAAAUUUGUAACAAAUACUAUAAUUAUGUAAAGAUUUGUAACAAACGCUGUGAUGAUAUAAAUAAAUAUUAUACAAAUUUAGAAAUUAUUUUUCUUCUAGUCGAGAUGCAUCACGUAUUAUCAUAGUCAGUCGGUAAAGAUAGAUGGAUUCGCCAACGGAUAGACUAUCUGACUCUCACGUAUAAGCAAAAUGGAUAUAUGAAGAAUUUACCUGCGAAGCCAAUCUGCAUUCUACUACCCUCGUGUUGAAGUCGUUAGAUGCAGCUUUGUUCUUGACGGCCAAACUCUGAGCCACUACGAACUUGGCGUCGUCUGGAAGUCGGAAUUGUUUAACCGCCAACGGAUUGAAGUCGAUACGGGCCGCAUAACCUUUACGCCGUGAAAUAACAAUUAAUUACAAUAUUAAUAAUAAAGAAAUAAUUAAACUUACAAUAUAGCGUUCACGGCUAUCGCUUGGUCCAUGCCACCGCCAGCCGUACCGAUGUAUCUUUCGCAUUUGGCGCUGAUUUCUGCCAACUCGAGUCUACUGAUCGGUACCUAAAAACAACGUCAUUGUAAACGUUUUACCUACACGCUACGCCGUC